rnacentral:tRNA from 1 species
AAAACAAUAGCAUUUUUAAAAUGCGUACCGGUUUCGGCCCAGUAAGAGCGUCCAAACGCAUUGUUUU